UUAAUGGAGUAGACUAAUAUAAAACAAUGUAUAUUGAUCUGAUGAAACAUUUUAAGCCUUUCCACCUUCAUCAUCACCUGUAUCCAUUAUGUUACUAGGACAACGGACUAGGACAGUUGUCAUUUGAUUGUGCCUUUGCAGAUUACACAUGUAGCCAUAGACUAUUCAUUCGUGCAAUAUGGAAUAAUACUCAAUGGCUAAUUUACACCCAGGUGUGCAUGGACAGUCAUUUCAAAAGUUAUGAACAUGUAUCGUGAGGAGUGAGGCAGACAUCUUUUAAAAAACAACUUUUUUACUUAAAGGUGACAUAAUAUAUGUCCACAAGUGCAGAACUUAUGUCUGUCUUUUAGCAGUAUGAGGUUUGGUUGUGUCUCCUGUAGGCCUCUUUGCCAAACAGAAUAUUUAGGCUGCUAAUGAAUGUCUUAGGCUGCUAAUGAAAGGUGUCUUUGACCGGAACGUUACAUGUUUAUUAAUGUUCUCUCUACACUGUGUGCUGGAGCACCCAUUCUAGUUUUCACUUUUCCCAACCUGACACUUCAGGUGUGCACGUUUUUAUUUUUACUCUCUUAUUUGUGAGUGAAAGUGUGUUGUCUAUCCAGAGCUGAAGGUUUGAGAGCAGCUUCUUAACCAGAUGGAAGAAUAAGAUGAGCUAUGGUCCAGCACAGAGAAAAUGCCGCAACACAGGAUGUGAAAAGUCAGAGCUGUCUAUUCUGCUUUAAAUCCAAAGGACACAAUGGAUUUCACAAGGACAUGAGGUAACCUACCGGAUCAGGGUUCACACAAGUCCCUCUAUAUUUCACACUCUAGGUGGAAGACCUACACACAUUCUUGGAUGCCAUCUGACACUGGACAAGCAACCUAUACCAACUGCUUGAGGCCAAUACAGCAGAUUGUCAUGUUGCCUCGUGAGCCACCCGUAUCGGUUGACAGUGAAGACACGUCAUGUAAGUUACUGCUUCAGUGAAACAGACAGACACAGAGAGAGAAUGGUCCAAAUACACUACUUUAGACCAUGCUACUAUUGAAUGUCUUGGCAAAGGUCUCUUUGACUGUACUAAUGUGCUGGAGUACUACAAAAUGAAUCAUCCUGGGUCUUGUUCAGUAAGACACACCGUAGACAAACUGUAAACAAACAAAAAAUAUUUCUUAAUUGGACAAGCCACCAAAAAUAUAAUUUGAUGCAUAGUGAACAUGACCCUCCUUAAACAGUAUCCAGAAACAGC
rnacentral:lncRNA from 1 species